AUGUCAGACGCCAAAAUGCCUGACGCGCAGAUGGGUUAUGAAAAGGGCAUCACAUCCGUGGUCGCAGGCCUUGCGGGGGCCAACCGUGUUCUAGAAUCUG
rfam:Pseudopelagicola gijangensis strain DSM 100564 genome assembly, contig: Ga0131178_105